rnacentral:rRNA from 1 species
GUAUGGCCUGCCCGCUGACAUUUGGUGUUGAAGGGCCGCGGUAUUUUGACCGUGCAAAGGUAGCAUAAUCAUUAGUUCUUUAAUUGUGAUCUGGAAUGAAUGGCUUGACGAGGCACGGGCUGUCUUAGUGUUGAAUGUUUUAUUGAAUUUGGUCUUUGAGUUAAAAUUCUUAGAUGUUUUUGUGGGACGAGAAGACCCUAUAGAGUUUGACAUUUGGUUUAUUUACUUGUUUGUUGUUUGUUUAUUUUUGGUGAGUGGGCUUUUUGUUUUGUUGGGGUGAUGGGAGGAAUGUACUUAACUCCUCUUAGUUUUGGUUAUAUUGAUUUAUAAUUAUUUGAUCCAGUUAUUUUGAUUGUAAGACUAAAUUACCUUAGGGAUAACAGCGUUAUCUUCCUUGAGAGUUCUUAUCGGCAGGGGGGUUUGCGACCUCGAUGUUGGAUUAAG